rnacentral:piRNA from 1 species
UGAGUGGAAGUUUUAAAUUUU